AGUGUCUGUGUGUGAGUGUCUCUGUGUGUGUCAAACUGUACUAACAAAAAACAGCCUGAAAAUCUGGAGACACUCCAGAGUCUCCGGAAAUACUACACAAGACGCUGAUUUACCAUCAUCACCGUGUACCCCUGUGUGGGCACCACAUUCCUGCCUUUUUCUAUCACUUUUUGAGAUCUGAAAAUCUGAAAAGAAGACGGACGUUGUACACCCAGAGAACAGAAGAUGUUUGGAAGGAUUUAUAUCUGAGCUGCCACGCCUUAGGAGAGCAGCGGAGACAAUUUACUUAUUGCUGUUCAAGGAUUAAAGGCUUAAGAACACAAUCAAUCCAUUUUAGACUUACAGGAACUCGGAGUCUGAACCAACUAGUGCAAGAGCUGUGUAAGGAAAAUACACCUUUUCACCUGGAAGUUGACUAAAACUCCAUUUACAACAAACAAGAAACAUUGAAGAUGCCUGCUCGUAGUUUUGACUACCCUAAAGGAAUGGAGGAUGAGGAAAAGAAAAUAUUCAAACAUAAAACUCUGAUGAAAAACCCAGAGAUUCUCUAUGAAGACACAUAUCAAACUGGUAUAAGAUGCAACCUCAUUUUCUUCACCCACUCUGGAGCAGACUACAGGGCUGCAAUAGAAGAUGCGUACCCUCAAUCCAAGGAUAUUCAAAUGGCCAACAAACUGAAACUUGAGCUCUCUGAUGGAGGCACUGUGUCCAUAUUUCCCAGUGGAAAGAUUUUAAUUCAAGGUAAAGAAGAAAACCUUGAUGCAUUUGAGAAAAUGUUUAAGAAAAUUAAACAAGAUGUAGACACAAGAAAAGAAGAACAGAUGAUGAAAACAUUACAGCAAAUGAAAGUUGAACAAUCGGAUUCUGAAACAGAAGAACGAGACAAAGAGAAACAGUCUAAAUAAAAUGUGAUACAAAUAAGAAAAAGCAGGAAACAGCAAAACAAUAUGGGCAUUUGAACUGUUAAUAAGUGAAUAUUAAAGUUUUUGUUCUGUGUGUUUAAAAAUUA